rnacentral:rRNA from 1 species
ACAUGCAAGUCGAGCGGACCGACGGGAGCUUGCUCCCUUAGGUCAGCGGCGGACGGGUGAGUAACACGUGGGUAACCUGCCUGUAAGACUGGGAUAACUCCGGGAAACCGGGGCUAAUACCGGAUGCUUGAUUGAACCGCAUGGUUCAAUCAUAAAAGGUGGCUUUUAGCUACCACUUGCAGAUGGACCCGCGGCGCAUUAGCUAGUUGGUGAGGUAACGGCUCACCAAGGCGACGAUGCGUAGCCGACCUGAGAGGGUGAUCGGCCACACUGGGACUGAGACACGGCCCAGACUCCUACGGGAGGCAGCAGUAGGGAAUCUUCCGCAAUGGACGAAAGUCUGACGGAGCAACGCCGCGUGAGUGAUGAAGGUUUUCGGAUCGUAAAACUCUGUUGUUAGGGAAGAACAAGUACCGUUCGAAUAGGGCGGCACCUUGACGGUACCUAACCAGAAAGCCACGGCUAACUACGUGCCAGCAGCCGCGGUAAUACGUAGGUGGCAAGCGUUGUCCGGAAUUAUUGGGCGUAAAGCGCGCGCAGGCGGUUUCUUAAGUCUGAUGUGAAAGCCCCCGGCUCAACCGGGGAGGGUCAUUGGAAACUGGGGAACUUGAGUGCAGAAGAGGAGAGUGGAAUUCCACGUGUAGCGGUGAAAUGCGUAGAGAUGUGGAGGAACACCAGUGGCGAAGGCGACUCUCUGGUCUGUAACUGACGCUGAGGCGCGAAAGCGUGGGGAGCGAACAGGAUUAGAUACCCUGGUAGUCCACGCCGUAAACGAUGAGUGCUAAGUGUUAGAGGGUUUCCGCCCUUUAGUGCUGCAGCAAACGCAUUAAGCACUCCGCCUGGGGAGUACGGUCGCAAGACUGAAACUCAAGGAAUUGAC